rnacentral:rRNA from 1 species
CACAGCAGCUUUAUCUUUUCAGGAAAAUUCAUUGUCAAAGUCUGAUCUCAGAAGCUAAGCAGGGUUGGUCCUGGUUAGUACUUGGAUGGGACACUGCUUUGAACCCCAGGUGCCACAGUGG